rnacentral:rRNA from 1 species
UACAGAGGGGGCAAGCGUUGUUCGGAAUUACUGGGCGUAAAGGGCGCGUAGGCGGCCUUCUAAGUCGAACGUGAAAUCCCCGGGCUCAACCCGGGAACUGCGUCCGAUACUGGAAGGCUUGAAUCCGGGAGAGGGAUGUGGAAUUCCAGGUGUAGCGGUGAAAUGCGUAGAUAUCUGGAGGAACACCGGUGGCGAAGGCGACAUCCUGGACCGGUAUUGACGCUGAGGCGCGAAAGCCAGGGGAGCAAAGCGGGG